UUAGUAGCAACUUUUUCUUCUUGUAAAAUAAUUUGCAUUUGCCAGCCAACUUGGACUUGCAAAUAUUCCAUGAAAACCCAUUGCCUUUUCCACAAGCAUUUUCUAUGCUUUACCUGGGGGCCAGUGACUUGAUUACUGUUUGAUAUGUGGUUUUCUAAUGUCAUCAUGAAUAAAAGACCUGUGCAAACGGGACCCAGCAUGAUCGACUCCUUAUGGCAUUUUCUUUCUCCUAUUGCAGAUGAACUAUACAGCCCAAAAUUCCUACUGUUCCCCUGAGGACAGCCUGAGUUUAAAAUCUCUAUCACCAAGUGAGGAAGACAAUGAUUAUGCCCAGAUUUUACCAUAUCACAUGUCCAGG